CACGUGGUUAGCAUUCGUCGCCAACGAGAAAUUGGGGUCGGCCCGAAAGCUCUAGAAUGCACCCCUCUUCCUCCCCGGGGCCUUCCACCUCCGCGAGUUUUAUGACUUAAAAAAGCCCACAGGCUGGUCUGAAGAGGAAGACAAACAUAAAGAUGAAGUGCUUAAUUCAAGGUCACACAAUGUCGGGGAUGGACCUCCAGAUUUCCUUACUGACCUGCAUUAUCUUGUGGAUACCUGAGUGAAUUCCACACCACCCAUUUUAUAGAUGAAACCACUGAGACAUGGAGCAAUUGACUGAGUAGUCACUGCCCCACCCCUGCCUGGAGCCUCACACAUGACUCGCCUCCUCUCAGUGACCACAGGAAAACAAGCUCAGGGCUCCCACUGAUUGUACAUUAUGAGACGGAGUCUUGCUAUGUUGCCCAGGCUGGUCUUGAACUCCUCACCUCAAGCGAUCCUCCCGUCUUGGCCUCCCAAGUGUCAGGAUUACGGGCAUGUGCUAUCACACCCAACCUGAUACAUUGCCUUUAUAAAUUUUUUUUUCUUUAUUCUAAAAACCAGAAAAAACAAAACUGGAUACAUGUGCAGAACAUGCAGACCAAGUGUGUUGGGGACUUGAGAUGCGUACAUGAGUGUGAUGUUUCCUGCUGAAAGCACAGGUGUGCAGGGAGGAGUUGUGCCUCCCCAGGAUCUGUUUCCUAUGUAUUGAAAUAAGAGGAAUCCCAUCCAGAUUCUGUGGAGGUUUCCUUCCAUCCUUCUUAUGUCCCUUUUUCACACUGUCACUGGCCUGGCUUCUGGGAAGAAGAGAGAAAGGAUUAGAGAAAUAAAGAACUUGAGGAGGUGAGACGUGGUCUUGUAACACAGUGGUUAAGAAUGUGACUUUGGAGCCAGCCUGCUAGGGGCUGAAUUCUGACUCAGCCAUUUACUAACUGUGUGACCUUAGGCUGGAGUGCAAUGGCAUGAUCUCGGCUCAUCACAACCUCUGCUUCCUGGGUUCAAGCGAUUCUCCUGCCUCAGCCUCCCGAGUACCUGGGACUACAGGCACUCGCCACCAUGCCCGGCUGAUUUUUGUAUUUUUAAUAGAGAUGGUUUCACUAUGUUGGCCAGGCUGGUCUCGAACUCCUGACCUUGUGAUCUGCCCACCUCAGCCUCGAAAAGUGCUGGGAUUACAGGCGUGAGCCACUGCGCCCAGCCUUGUAUUUUUUUUCAGUUUGGGUAGCUGUCCCUAAUUCAUUUGUUAAAGGAGAAGCAAGAGCAAGAACCUUUAAUCUGUUCUCCUCUUCCCUAAUUUGAAAGUAGCUUGUUAUUUUGAAUAUCACUUUCUCUGAAAUAGCACAUCUCCAUCUCAGAGAAUGGAUUUAAUGUUUGGAUACAGCCAAAAGUCAUUUCAUUACCAAACCAUGGGGUGAAUAUACCAUGUAAAGCAGUUUGGGAUCAGAACUCACAGUCUGAAUUGUAAGUGAUGAGACUGCUGUCUCUCUGCUACAGCUUCUUGGCUGGCUCUGAAGGCUCUUUGAAGGCAGAUCCUAACAAGGGGACUGCUUUGAAGGGCCAUUGUUCAUUUGGAAUGAUAAAGUCUAUGUUGU
rnacentral:lncRNA from 1 species